rnacentral:misc_RNA from 1 species
GAACAGAAAGCUAUAGAUCUGACUGUCAAGGUCAGGUCAGAAUCCAUAGGCUUUGCUGAUAAAAAAUUAGUUCAGAAGCUUGCGAUGCUAGUUUCUGAACACAUGGGUGGUCCAGUUGGUGAUCCUGAUGGCAUGUUAAUAGCAUGGAGAAGCCUUAGUCAUAGUCUAAAGGCCACUUUUGGGAGCAUGGUUUUGCCUCUGGGUUCUUUGACCGUCGGACUGGCUCGUCAGCGUGCCUUGUUAUUUAAGG